CUCCGACGGGCCUGAAGCAAAGGCAAACGAAGAGUUUUAUUCGCGGCCAGUCACUGGCUCGAACGUCGAUAGCUUCGUUCCUCGUCUAGAAACUCGGUGCUAGGUGUGGUGUUUCUAUCUUGUGUGUCACUGUACUAUGGGCCUUUGUGAUCCAUGACUGAUGGUAGUAGCAGUAAUGAUAGCGUUGUGAGCGAAAAUAGAGACA